CUUGGGAUGGUUCCUUCCGUGGAGAAGGAUCAGCAUGACCCAAGGACCCCUUGUGCAGAUGAGCAAGCUGAGGCCACAGGCACAGGCAGGAGUCACUGGCUCUGCUUACCCAGGAUGCCAUGCUGCCGCUGGGCCAUCCACAGUCCCCAUUCUCCCAACCCAGGGUCUGGCUCCUACCUCCUGGAAGGGUCUCUCUUCCUAGGGGCACUUGCCAUCCCUAGCGGUGUCUCCAACCCCUCCUUGUGACUGACAGGGAAGCAAGGCAGCUGGCAGCUGCCAACCCCACCCUGACCUGAAGAAGCCACUCAGAGGUCGGUGGGGCCCCAGUGACGACCCUCUAUGUGACCUUGGCCGGCCCCCAGGGCACAGGGGGUGGAGCGGCGACAGACAGGAGGGAUGAAGGAAAAGGAGGAAGCCGCCCUUGGAAGAUCAGCUGGGUCCUGGGAGGCUGUGGCCCGACUCUCCUCCCCCAGCCCCGCUGCCUGGGAAUCCGGCCCGACGGGAUUCCUGCGCCCCCUCGCUCGCGGUGGGAGAGAAGGCGCUGGGCGGAGCGGCAGGGAGAUGCAAGGUGAAGACAACAGCAUCACGAGAAGGAGAGAGCCUGCAUCCCAGAAUUACCCCGUGGAGGAGAGAUGCCUGACCAGGAAUGUCUACAAGGAUUUUGUCAUGGCUUGAUGAGUGGUGUGUAGGUCCAUGCCUGGGAUCCGAACCUGUGAACCCUGGGCCACCAAAGUGGAAUGCACAAACUUAACCACUAUGCCACCAGGGGCCAGAAGCCUGAGAACUACAUUUCCCAGAGUCCCCUGCGGCAGGGUUCCAGGUUACAGUCUGUCAAUCACAGGACCUGGUAAGGAAGGCACUGGAAGAAGUUGGGGAUGCUGGCAAGCACCUCGUGGUGGCAAGAAGUGGAAGCGGUCAGCCUGGAGGAAAGAUGCUGUCUUUGAUCCUUGAGCCAGCUCUGCCCCUGUCCGGUGCACACCCUGACCAUCGCUGGGCCUCAGUUUCCCCCUCUGUAUUUCCGGGCUGUACAGAGGACAGCAAUGAGGAGCCCAGCCUGCCGGCCUUCAGCGUUCCCCAAGACCCAAGAGGGACUCCCGGAGACUUCCCCCCCUCUCCAAGGCACGGGCUGACUCACAUCGCUGUCUGGGGAGGAAGCACAGCCCGGCUGGCGAGGGUCUCGCCACCCAGCAACCUGCCACGGCUCCGGGGGACGGGGGAGUUGAACAUUAACCCCUUGGGUGAGUGGCUCCAGCUAAACAAACACGUGUUAUCACGUGUCAACAGCAGUUAGGGCUGGGCUGCCCGGCUGAGUCAGAGCUCGGAGCAGCGCUGCCUGCCACCGCCGCCUGGGGGACCACCUUGGGUCAAGGCCCACCCACGUCUGCUGGCCGCCUGUCACUGUGGGAUCCCAGGCGAGGCACUGUCCCUCCCUGGGCUCAUUUGCCAUUCUGCACAGGGAGAGACCCGGCCCUCUCUUAUCUGGCCUCCCGGGAAGGCUGCGCCG
rnacentral:lncRNA from 1 species